AUACGUAGGGGGCGAGCGUUGUCCGGAAUGAUUGGGCGUAAAGGGCGCGUAGGCGGCCCGGUAAGUCUGGAGUGAAAGUCCUGUUUUUAAGAUGGGAAUUGCUUUGGAUACUGUCGGGCUUGAGUGCAGGAGAGGUAAGUGGAAUUCCCAGUGUAGCGGUGAAAUGCGUAGAGAUUGGGAGGAACACCAGUGGCGAAGGCGACUUACUGGACUGUAACUGACGCUGAGGCGCGAAAGUGUGGGGAGCAAACAGGAUUAGAGACCCGGGUAUUCCACACUGUAAACGAUGAAUGCUAGGUGUAGGGGGUAUCGACCCCUUCUGUGCCGCAGUCAACACAAUAAGCAUUCCGCCUGGGGAGUACGGCCGCAAGGUUGAAACUCAAAGGAAUUGGCGGGG
rnacentral:rRNA from 1 species